GGGUGGGAUAAUGGAAUAAAUUGGCUUCUUCAUGGUGGCUUCUGCCUACUCUUGCUUGUUAGACUUCUGGAAGCUUCUGAAGGUUGCAGACAUUUUCCUUUAGGGCUACAUAAGUGCUCUUGCAGUAUCAAACAUUCAGAGAUGAGGUUCUAAAACAACUCUGUGGUUUAAAUGCCUUGAUUUUUCUUUCCAUUUCCAGUUGUGGGUAACUGGAUCUUUGAGUGUGGUGCUUCUGCAUAUUCAUAAUUACCUGUCACUUUCCCUCUUGUUCUUUGGAGUUAUCUGAGUUUAGCAGAAAGAGCUGAGACAGUUGGAGUCCUGCAUCCCUUUGUAACCCCAGCUCUGAGUAUUCAGAAUCGAGGAGGACACUCAGAUAGCUGCAGUGGAUCCUGCUUUCCAGAAAGUUCCUAAGGCUCAGAGACACCAUGGACUCCUCUCACUAGUGUGAAUAUUCAGCAGCAAUGUUCUCUCAGCCCAUGAUUUCUAUAGUAAAUUUCUUCCACUAUUCUACCACUGGGGGGCAGCAUAUGUUUUCCUUAAAAGCAGAUAUCAUUCUCCUUUAUGAAUUUGCCUCUGCAGAAUACCGCUGCAGACAUCCCAUGCUGAGUCAUGUGAUCAGUGAGCCAUUUCUGAGCAGUAGUUAACAGUUGGAAGGUGUGUAAUAUUUCUCCAAGUUAGACAUUGCAUAAAUUGAUGGUAUAAAUAUCUUGUCUAAUGGUUCCUCUGUUUCUUUUCAUUCACGUGUUAGGUUGGUUCUGUGACCACUCUAUCCCUUUCUCCUUUGUUAUUUUUACAUAGUGGUAAAUAGUUCAUGUGCUGUUUUAAUAGGUAUGGACCAGGAUCAAGUGUUACAUUUUAGUUGCCGUGGGUCUUGCUUAAGGUCAUGGAGCCACUUAGGAAGCCUGUAGGGUAGGUUCCUCUGACUCGGCACACGCUGUUUCUUGCUUCAGAUAGACGUGAAAUGCCUCAGAGAGGGACACUGCCAAAUGCUGGAAUAUCUACAAGGCUUUAUCCAAAAAGUUCCUGAAAUCUCUGCUUCAGAAUCUGCGUAUGCAAGAGGAUCAGUGGGUCCUAGAUCCCAUAAACGGGUAUUCCUUCCAGUUACAAGCCAUACCAUAUCUCAACUCCAUUUAUUUUUUUCAAGCAUUCUUCUCAGAAACUGCUGCAAAAGGAGGUCUUGGCAACCAUACUGGGAAAGGCUCUGUUCUAGACCUCUGCAAAUUGAAGAAAUUACCUAAGGAAAACAAAAUUCUAUCUGUCUCUUCUGGGGAGUAUAAUCCUCUCAAUCUUCAAGACUGGUAUGAAACCCUACCUCUGAAGACUUCUCCUUCCACACCUUGAUAAGGCAAAAGCACAGGAAGUAUUUUCGGCAACAACUAAUAUAAGGUUCUUCUCUUUGGACUGGCAGCACCCCUAAAGGUAUUCACCAAAUGCUUGGCAGUGUUCACAGUUAAUCUGUAUGGGGGGCCUUAGGUAUAUCCAUACCUGGAUGACUGUCUGCUAAAAGAUCAGUCUUUCCUGCAAGGCAAGAGUUACCGUGCUGUGCCUUGCUGCUUCUUCAUAUCUAUACAGUAAACUGAAUAUAUCUUGGCUACAGCUCAAGGGCUAGUCUUCCUGCAGAAUCUGAGGGGACCUUCUGUGAGCUCUAGCUUGACUGCCUAGGGAAAUGGUCCAAGAAUUCAUCCAGAGAAUGGAGGUAGCAAAGUCUAGAUUAGAAGGCCCAGUGAAAUUAUCUGAGUGAGCCUGAUGUCUACUGCACUUUUGUCUCCAACUUUGCAAGGCUUCAGGUGUACAACCCUUGCAAGGGUGGCUGAAUCUGGUGUAAAAACCAAACAAUCACAGUUGGAUGUGAGUGUUUCCACUUCAGAAAGUCCAGUACUCACUCUUUGGCAGUAUUUACCCACAGCAAUCUUCAAGGUUUUAAUUGGAUGAUUAAUCAGAUAAUAGUCUUGGUUGACUCGUCUCAGUAGAGGUCUUAAAAGCACUCUUCAAACUUAAUCAUGGUGUGUGGAAGCCUCAGGAAUGAAACUUCACAUCCUCUUCCUUGAAUUAGGAGCCAUCAGACUCUAUCAUAAAUCUAUCCUUCCACAGAUUGAAGGGUAAUUAAUGUAGAUUCCUACAGAUAAUAUGGUUAUGAUUGAGGCUUCGAUUGAAUCACAGAUAUUUUUAAUACAAGUCAUGGAUAGGUCAUGGACAAUAAACAAAAAAUCACGGCCUGUGACCUGUCCAUGACUUGUACUAUAAAUACUCCUGACUAAAUCUUGGGGGGCUUUGGGGUGCUGCUGCUGCUUGGGAAGGAGGGGCAGGGUCCUGCCACUGCUACUCCAUGAGUGAGGAUGUCAGCAGCCCAGGGUCCUGCUGCUGCUGGUCCAGGCAGAACCCAGGACUGCUGUUGCUCUGGCGGCCCCUGGGACCAGAUGCCUGGGGCCACCCCAACUGCUUGGGCAACCCUAGGGUCAGCCACACUGGCCACUGCAGAAGUACCAGAAGGUUACAGAAUCUGUGACGUCUGUGAAAGACUUGCAGCCUUAGUUAUGAUAUAUUACUUUGAGAAAGUGGAAGUCGUUGCCUCCAUCAGGAGGCAGCCUUUCUGUAGGAAUUGAGCAUCCAAAAUGAAGAGAACCUGUCUGCUCUAUCCUAUUAGGUUAUAGGCUACAUUUUUAAGCGUACAUCUGAUGCUGAUCAUUACCAGUGGCGACUCAAAGUCUUGGUGGCUCAUCUUGUUAUCUGCCUUAUCUGCCUUGUGGACUCAUCCAGAUAUGGAUUUCUUUGCUACAAAUCAGUACAAUAAGUGUCUGAAGUUUUGCUUGAGCAGGCAAGGAGCCACAGUGCUUAAUGAAUGUCUUUCUUUUACACUGGGAGUUAAGGGAAAGCUGCUUUGUCUUCUCUCAUUUACCAUAUUGAGAGAAAGUAGUCUUAAUCAUGUCAUUCAGGACAUGGCAAACCUAUUUCUCAGAGCUUCCAGCCUGUCCAUUCAUUCUUCUCAUGAGUCAAGUGUUCCUUCACCCAGCAGAGAAACAGGGUUAUGCUUCUGGAUCUCAGAUUCCUUUACUCAGCAGCAUGGCUGGUGAUCUGCUUACUAUGUCUCUGUGAAAGAGACCACAACAUCUGUCAAUCCUGAGACUUCAAAACAUUUUACAAAUGUGUACGUUCUCAUCUAAAAGCCUAUUGAUUUUUUAGACUCUAUUUGCUAGAUUCAUGAAAAGGCCCUUUUGAGCCAUGGAUUCUUGCAUUCAGUAAUACUUCUGGCUGAAGGUGCAAGAUUUAGGCUCUAAGGGUAUGUCUAUGCUACGAAAUUAGGUAGAUUUUUUUUUUUUUUUAGGAAGCGAUUUUAUACAGUUGAUUGUGUGUCCCUACUAAGCACAUUAAGUCUGCGGAGUACGGCCACAGUACUAUGGGUAGGUAUCCCACAGUCUCUUCUGCCCAUUGGAAUUCUGGGUUAAGCUUCCAAUGCCUGAUGAGGCAAAAACAUUGUCGCGGGUGGUUUUGGGUACAUGUCGUCAGUCGUCCCUCCCUCCGUGAAAGCAAUGGCAGACAAGCGUUUCGCGCCUUUGUUCCGUGUGGACGCCAUACUGCUUUCAGCAGAUGGUGCAGUAGGACUGCUAACCGUUGUCAUUGAACCACUGCUUCCGCUGCAACUCUGCUCUCCUGCUCUUGUCUUGAUAGCAAAUUUCUCCAUGUUGUCUGUCAUAGGCUCCCGGGUACGUGUGUUCUUCCUCGGGAAACAUGCGCGGUGCUAACCGUCAUCAUCCACCACUUCUGCUGCAACUCUGCUGUGCUGUUAUUGUCUCAGUAGCAAAUUUCUCCAUGUUUGGCUGUCAUGGGCUCCCGCUUCCGCUGCAACUCUGCUUUCCUGCAGACGUCAUACCACGGCAAGCAUGGAGCCUGCUCAGAUCAUCGCAGCAGUUAUGAGCAUUGUAAACACCUCGCGCAUUAUCCUGUAGUAUGAUCAGGGUCAGAACCAGAACCUGCAAAAGCAGGCGAGGAGGCGACGACAGCGCAGUGACAAGAGUGAUGAGGACAUAGACACAGGCCUCUCUCAAAGUACGGGCACUGGCAAUUUGGACAUCCUGGUGGCAAUGGGGCAGGCUCAUGCCGUGGAAUGCCAAUUCUGGGCCCGGGAAACAAGCACAGACUGGUGGGACUGCAUAGUGUUGCAAGUAGAGGACGAUUCCCAGUGGCUGCAAAACUUUCGUAUGCAUAAGGGCACUUUCAUGGAACUUUGACUUGCUUUCCCCUGCCCUAAAGCGCAGGAAUAUCAAGAUGAGAGCAGCCCUCACAGUUCACAAGCGAGUGGCUUUAGCCCUCUGGAAGCUUGCAAUGCCAGACAGCUACCAGUCAGGAAUCAAUUUGGAGUUGGCAAAUCUACUGUGGGGGGCUGCUGUGAUCCAAGUAGCCAACGCAAUCACUGAACUGCUGCUAUCAAGGGUAGUGACUCUGGGAAAUGUGCAGGUCAUAGUGGAUGGCUUUGCUGCAAUGAGAUUCCCUAACUGUGGUGGGGCGAUAGACGGAACGCGUAUCCCUAUCUUGGGACCGGACCACCUUGGCAGCCAGUACAUGAACCAAAAGGGGUACUUUUCAGUGGUGCUGCAAGCACUGAUGGAUUACAAGGGACGUUUCACCAACAUCAACAUGGGAUGGCCGGGAAAGGUACAUGACGCUCGCAUCUUCAGGAAUUCUGGUCUGUUUCAAAAGCUGCAGGAAGGGACUUACUUUCCAGACCAGAAAAUAACUGUUGGGUGACCAUGAAUGAUAUCACUCUCCUGAGCAUAACACAGAGAUAAAGAACGGAUGUUGCUUGAAUGCCAGCAAACUCCAGGACCAUACGCUGCCAUGCUUUCUUAUGCAAGGAUUUCAGACUACGUGCUACUGGCCUGGCGUGGUAAAGUGCCCUACAAUGGAGGACGCAAUGAGGCUGCCCUCCCCAAAACCUUUUGCAAAGGCUUUGGGAGUACCUCCAGGAGAGCUUCGCUGAGAUGUCCCUGGAGGAUUUCCGCUCCAUCCCCAGACACAUUAAGACUUUUCCAGUAGCUGUACUAGCCACGAAUGCAUCCCAAGUCUUCAGGGCAAAUUAAUCAUUAAACACGCUUCCUUUUAAA